CGGGGCGUGGGCGUGUCUAGCGCGGGAGGCGCUGUCCCGCCUCCAGGAACAGAGAGUGCUGGGCCAGAGCCCCUCAGAUUGCACAGAGGAUGAGGACAGAUGAAGUCAUACCCGGGGCUGCCUGGAGACACAGCUCUGGAAGGAUGCUCCCGACCGACCGACCGACCGACCGAUAGCCAGCAUGGUGUCCUCUUACACAUUCCUUCUCAAUGUUUGUAAAACUCAAGGAUAUGCAUCAACCUUCAGGAAUGGGAAUGAUUCUACUGACCCAAUGUCGUGAUGCUUGUGUUUUGAAUAUUUUUUUUUUUUUAGAUCUGAGCUGAGUAUAUUAAUUAAUCCAAAUUCUAGCUGGCUCUCCCUCUGAGUAUAAAUAGUGAAAACAGAGUUAUUGGCCCAAACUUGAAGGCGUGUUCCAAAGUCCACAGACUGCCUAAGUAGGAAGACAAGGUUCUGAUUCUCCCUCUCUUGCUAGUUGAAUAACUUGGGGCAGCUCACUUAUUUCUGAAGGCACAGAAGAGGAACGGGACCCACACUCAGUCAAGUCCACUGUUAUAUGUUCUACUAACACACUGGAUUUCAUCAUCUUAUCAUUUAUAUGCAUUUAUCACAACAUUUAUCACAAUUGAUUUUAUAUCACUGUGCAAUUAUUUAUUAUUUGUCUCUUCCACUAGAAUAAAAUUAAUGCUUUAGCUAGUUAUA